rnacentral:rRNA from 1 species
GAUGAACGCUGGCGGCGUGCCUAAUACAUGCAAGUCGAGCGAACGGACGAGGAGCUUGCUUCUCUGAUGUUAGCGGCGGACGGGUGAGUAACACGUGGAUAACCUACCUAUAAGACUGGGAUAACUUCGGGAAACCGGAGCUAAUACCGGAUAAUAUUUUGAACCGCAUGGUUCAAAAGUGAAAGACGGUCUUGCUGUCACUUAUAGAUGGAUCCGCGCUGCAUUAGCUAGUUGGUAAGGUAACGGCUUACCAAGGCAACGAUGCAUAGCCGACCUGAGAGGGUGAUCGGCCACACUGGAACUGAGACACGGUCCAGACUCCUACGGGAGGCAGCAGUAGGGAAUCUUCCGCAAUGGGCGAAAGCCUGACGGAGCAACGCCGCGUGAGUGAUGAAGGUCUUCGUAUCGUAAAACUCUGUUAUUAGGGAAGAACAUAUGUGUAAGUAACUGUGCACAUCUUGACGGUACCUAAUCAGAAAGCCACGGCUAACUACGUG